GUGCUCGCUUUGGCAGCACAUAUACUAAAAUUGGAACAAUACAGAGAAGAUUAGCAUGGCUCCUGUGCAAGGGUGACAUGCAAACUCAUGAAGCGUUCCACAUUUUU
rnacentral:snRNA from 1 species